ACGGGAGGCAGCAGUGGGGAAUAUUGGACAAUGGGGGAAACCCUGAUCCAGCGACGCCGCGUGAGUGAAGAAGUAUUUCGGUAUGUAAAGCUCUAUCAGCAGGGAAGAUAAUGACGGUACCUGACUAAGAAGCCCCGGCUAACUACGUGCCAGCAGCCGCGGUAAUACGUAGGGGGCAAGCGUUAUCCGGAUUUACUGGGUGUAAAGGGAGCGUAGACGGUUUGGCAAGUCUGAAGUGAAAGCCCGGGGCUCAACCCCGGUAUUGCUUUGGAAACUGUUGAACUAGAGUGCCGGAGGGGUAAGCGGAAUUCCUAGUGUAGCGGUGAAAUGCGUAGAUAUUAGGAGGAACACCAGUGGCGAAGGCGGCUUACUGGACGGUAACUGACGUUGAGGCUCGAAAGCGUGGGGAGCAAACAGGAUUAGAUACCCUGGUA
rnacentral:rRNA from 2 species